rnacentral:misc_RNA from 1 species
ACAUUAAAAAGUUUUAAAAGUAAAAUUAGUUUCUAAUUGUAUUUUAUAAUAAUUUAUUUUGUUAAUUAUGAAAGAUAUAAUAAUAUUUAAAUUUUUUUGGAAAUUUUUUUCUAUUACUAGCAUGUGAAUUCCCUUAUUUCCUAUGGAAAAUGAAAAUUGGAGUUCUCUUAGAACAUGGAAAAUGAAAAUUAGAGAACUGUUUUCCACUAGUAAAUAGGCCCUAAAUGACUUGAUAGAAGCACAAUAUAAUUCUAAGCAGAAUUCACUAUUAUGAGAAAAUUAUUGAUAUUUAAUUUCAUAUUGGUGCUUGAUGAUGGAGAGCAGAAAGUUAUAGUUCUUCAAGUGUCUAUAUUUUUUUCUUUUGUUAAUGUGAAUCAUAUGGGUAUGUUGUCUUGGAGUAAAGAUGAAGAGUAACUUUUUGGAUAGUAUUGCUUGUUUCUUUUUGUUUAUUAUGGCACCAUUGGUUAGUCCUUUAUACUAAUUUUGCAGGAUCUGGAACAACCCUUAAUUCAUUUGUUCUAAUUAUGGUCUACCAUGCAUGCAAAUAUACACGUUAGUGACCCUAAUUGGGGUUUGGUCUAUGAAAAUAUAAAAGGCUGCAAAUGUGCUGUAUGUUAUUGUUUCCUAUCUAUCUUGAAUUGGAAGCCAUUGACGUGUGGUUAUUGGUCUACUACAUGCCAGUCCAUUUUUUAUAGUUAUAUGCUGAUCUGUAGAUAGGAUAGUAUCUAUUACUCUCUCUCUCUCUGAUGAUUUUCCUACCAUAUUUUGACUUUUCUUUGCUUGUUAAAAUAGGUGGUCAUACCAUUACAUCAGCUUAAAGCUGUCAAUCCUUCGUCAAGCAGAUCAAAUUCUGCAGAGAAAUACAUUCAGAUUAUUUCUGUUGAUAAUCAUGAAUUUUGGUUCAUGGGCUUCUUAAACUACGAUGGUGCUGUGAGAUAUCUACAGGAUGCUUUGCAAUCCCAUAAUCUACAGUCAGUGUGAUACUUGUCCCAUCGGGCCUAACUCUUUGCCAUCACAUGGUCUUUAUCUUACAACCAGAAGUUUUCAACCUGUGCUGCCAACUGCUAAUGUGAUAACAGCGCAUGUUGCAAUUCUUGGGAAAAUUUUCUUUGUUCCUCUAGGAAUGAAAUUAGGUAAUUGUAGAUUUUAUGAACAUUUUUGUGACAGCAACUAGAAUAUAUAUAAAUAUAUAUGUGGUUGUAAUUUGCAUGAUACAACUCAUUGGAAGACUUCUUAUUGAAUGAAUCUUUUGUGAGAUUAGCUGUUACUUUCACCUAUUUACCUGCCUGCUUAACCUCUAUUG